rnacentral:rRNA from 1 species
ACGGAGGGCAGCAGGCGCGUAAAUUGACCAAUGCCAAAACAAAUGGUGAGGCAGCGAAAAGAAAUAGGUCUUCCACACGUCUUUAUGGCGUCUGGGAGUUUGCAAUGGGGGAUAUCUAAAGCCAUCCAAUAUCGAGUAACGAUUGGAGGACAAGUCUGGUGCCAGCACCCGCGGNAAUUCCAGCUCCAAGAGCGUAUAUU